rnacentral:rRNA from 1 species
AUUGAACGCUGGCGGCAGGCCUAACACAUGCAAGUCGAACGAGUGGCGGACGGGUGAGUAAUGUCUGGGAAACUGCCCGAUGGAGGGGGAUAACUACUGGAAACGUUAGCUAAUCCCGCAUACCAUCGGAUGUGCCCCGAUGGGAUUAGCUAGUGGGUGGGGUAACGGCUCACCUAGGCGACGAUCCGUAGCUGGUCUGAGAGGAUGACCAGCCACACUGGGACUGAGACACGGUCCAGACUCCUACGGGAGGCAGCAGUGGGGAAUAUUGCACAAUGGGGGCAAGCCUGAUGCAGCCAUGCCGAGUGUAUGAAGAAGGCCUUCGGGGUGUAAAGUACUUUCAGCGAGGAGGCGUUACUCGCAGAAGAAGCACCGGCUAACUCCGUGCCAGCCGCCGCGGUAAUAC